UACAGAGGUCUCAAGCGUUGUUCGGAUUCAUUGGGCGUAAAGGGUGUGUAGGUGGCGCCGUAAGUCAGGGGUGAAAUCCUGGAGCUCAACUCCAGAACUGCCUUUGAUACUGGCAAUCUCGAGUCCGGGAGAGGUGAGUGGAACUGCGAGUGUAGAGGUGAAAUUCGUAGAUAUUCGCAAGAACACCAGUGGCGAAGGCGGCUCACUGGCCCGGUACUGACGCUGAGGUGCGAAAGCGUGGGGAGCGAACAGG
rnacentral:rRNA from 1 species